AGUGAACGCUGGCGGUAGGCCUAACACAUGCCAGUCGAACGGCAGCACAGUAAGAGCUUGCUCUUACGGGUGGCGAGUGGCGGACGGGUGAGGAAUACAUCGGAAUCUACUUUUUCGUGGGGGAUAACGUAGGGAAACUUACGCUAAUACCGCAUACGACCUACGGGUGAAAGCAGGGGAUCUUCGGACCUUGCGCGAUUGAAUGAGCCGAUGUCGGAUUAGCUAGUUGGCGGGGUAAAGGCCCACCAAGGCUACGAUCCGUAGCUGGUCUGAGAGGAUGAUCAGCCACACUGGAACUGAGACACGGUCCAGACUCCUACGGGAGGCAGCAGUGGGGAAUAUUGGACAAUGGGCGCAAGCCUGAUCCAGCCAUACCGCGUGGGUGAAGAGAGCCUUCGGGUUGUAAAGCCCUUUUGUUGGGAAAGAAAAGCAGCAGGUUAAUACCCCGCUGUUCUGACGGUACCCAAAGAAUAAGCACCGGCUAACUUCGUG
rnacentral:rRNA from 1 species